rnacentral:rRNA from 1 species
GGUGACCUGCGGAAGGAUCAUUAUUGAAUUUUAAUGAAGGGAU